rnacentral:rRNA from 1 species
CCUACGGGGGGCAGCAGUGAGGAAUAUUGGUCAAUGGCCGGAAGGCUGAACCAGCCAUGCCGCGUGAAGGUCAGUGCCCUAUGGGCGUUAAACUUCUUUUGUGCGGGAGCAAUAAUGGUCACGUGUGGCCAGACGAGAGUACCGUACGAAUAAGCAUCGGCUAACUCCGUGCCAGCAGCCGCGUUAAUACGGGGGAUGCAAGCGUUAUCCGGAUUUAUUGGGGUUAAAGGGUGCGUAGGCUGUGAGGUAAGUCAGCGGUGAAAUGCCCCCGCUCAACGGGGUGAAGUGCCAUUGAUACUGCCUUGCUGGAAUGCGGAUGCCGUGGGAGGAAUGUGUGGUGUAGUGGUGAAAUGCAUAGAUAUCACACAGAACACCGAUUGCGAAGGCAUCUCACGAAUCCGCGAUUGACGCUGAUGCACGAAAGCGUGGGUAUCAAACAGGAUUAGAUACCCGAGUAGUC